UACGAAGGGGGCUAGCGUUGUUCGGAAUUACUGGGCGUAAAGCGCGCGUAGGCGGUGAUCUUUGUCAGAGGUGAAAGCCUGGGGCUCAACCCCAGGUCUGCCGUGCGAACUGGUGGACUAGAGCACUGUAGAGGCAGGUGGAAUUUCGGGUGUAGCGGUGGAAUGCGUAGAGAUCCGAAAGAACACCGGUGGCGAAGGCGGCCUGCUGGGCAGUUGCUGACGCUGAGGCGCGACAGCGUGGGGAGCAAACAGG
rnacentral:rRNA from 1 species